UGAACGCUGGCGGCAUGCCUUACACAUGCAAGUCGAACGGCAGCACGGGUGCUUGCACCUGGUGGCGAGUGGCGAACGGGUGAGUAAUACAUCGGAACAUGUCCUGUAGUGGGGGAUAGCCCGGCGAAAGCCGGAUUAAUACCGCAUACGAUCUACGGAUGAAAGCGGGGGACCUUCGGGCCUCGCGCUAUAGGGUUGGCCGAUGGCUGAUUAGCUAGUUGGUGGGGUAAAGGCCUACCAAGGCGACGAUCAGUAGCUGGUCUGAGAGGACGACCAGCCACACUGGGACUGAGACACGGCCCAGACUCCUACGGGAGGCAGCAGUGGGGAAUUUUGGACAAUGGGCGAAAGCCUGAUCCAGCAAUGCCGCGUGUGUGAAGAAGGCCUUCGGGUUGUAAAGCACUUUUGUCCGGAAAGAAAUCCUUGGCUCUAAUACAGUCGGGGGAUGACGGUACCGGAAGAAUAAGCACCGGCUAACUACGUGCCAGCAGCCGCGGUAAUACGUAGGGUGCGAGCGUUAAUCGGAAUUACUGGGCGUAAAGCGUGCGCAGGCGGUUUGCUAAGACCGAUGUGAAAUCCCCGGGCUCAACCUGGGAACUGCAUUGGUGACUGGCAGGCUAGAGUACGGCAGAGGGGGUAGAAUUCCACGUGUAGCAGUGAAAUGCGUAGAGAUGUGGAGGAAUACCGAUGGCGAGCAGCCUCCUUGGGCAAUACUGACCGCUCAUGCACGAAAGCGUGGGGAGCAAACAGGAUAGAAUACCUGUAGUCCCACGCCUAACGAUGUCACUAGUGUUGAGGAUUCAUUUCCUUAGUAACGUAGCUAACGCGUGAAGUUGACCGCCUGGGGAGUACGGUCGCAAGAUUAAAACUCAAAGGAAUUGACGGGGACCCGCACAAGCGGUGGAUGAUGUGGAUUAAUUCGAUGCAACGCGAAAAACCUUACCUACCCUUGACAUGGUCGGAAUCCUGCUGAGAGGCGGGAGUGCUCGAAAGAGAACCGGCGCACAGGUGCUGCAUGGCUGUCGUCAGCUCGUGUCGUGAGAUGUUGGGUUAAGUCCCGCAACGAGCGCAACCCUUGUCCUUAGUUGCUACGCAAGAGCACUCUAAGGAGACUGCCGGUGACAAACCGGAGGAAGGUGGGGAUGACGUCAAGUCCUCAUGGCCCUUAUGGGUAGGGCUUCACACGUCAUACAAUGGUCGGAACAGAGGGUUGCCAACCCGCGAGGGGGAGCUAAUCCCAGAAAACCGAUCGUAGUCCGGAUUGCACUCUGCAACUCGAGUGCAUGAAGCUGGAAUCGCUAGUAAUCGCGGAUCAGCAUGCCGCGGUGAAUACGUUCCCGGGUCUUGUACACACCGCCC
rnacentral:rRNA from 1 species